rnacentral:rRNA from 1 species
UACGUAGGGGGCUAGCGUUGUCCGGAAUCAUUGGGCGUAAAGCGCGUGUAGGCGGUUCGGUAAGUCCGCUGUGAAAGUCGGGGGCUCAACCCUCGGAUGCCGGUGGAUACUGUCGGACUAGAGUACGGAAGAGGCGAGUGGAAUUCCUGGUGUAGCGGUGAAAUGCGCAGAUAUCAGGAGGAACACCGAUUGCGAAGGCAGCUCGCUGGGACGUUACUGACGCUGAGACGCGAAAGCUAGGGGAGCAAACAGG